AAUUUAUUAGUUUAAUUAAAACACUACAUUUUCAUUGUAAAAAUAAAUUUAUAAAUUUAUAAAUUA
rnacentral:tRNA from 1 species